CGACCGGCGCACGGGUGAGUAACGCGUAUGUAAUCUACCUGUAACAGAGGGAUAACCCGGAGAAAUCCGGACUAAUACCUCAUAGCACAUAUUAUUCGCAUGAAUUUUAUGUUAAAGAGACUCGGUUACAGAUGAACACGCGUUCCAUUAGCUAGUUGGCGGGGUUACGGCCCACCAAGGCAACGAUGGAUAGGGGUUCUGAGAGGAAGGUCCCCCACACUGGUACUGAGACACGGACCAG
rnacentral:rRNA from 1 species